CUUCCGCUUCCUUUGUGACGUCGAAUGCCAGCGCCGGAAGUGUGCUGUGCGGCCUGUCGGCGGUAGUUGAACGACGCCAUGGGAGAGGGUCAGAGCCCUGCUCCCGAAAGGGAGAUUAAGAAUUUCCACUUCCGUCAGAUGAAGAAAAUCCGAAUCUUCAAUUCUCCGGACGAGUUGCCGAAGGACAGGGUGAAUCUCCUGACCUUGUCCAAUGUUUAUGGACUAAUCUUUAUGGGAGGGAAGACUGGCCUGAAGAUACUCAACACCCAAUACCUAAACAUGGUUGACCAGGGCGAGGGGAACAUUAAUACAAUUGUCGAAGAUCCUCCUGUCAUGACAGUCAAUAUGAAGCUCCCAGUGCACCACAUUGGCCUGAGCUGUGACGAUUUCACCUUGUCUGUUGCCAUGACAUCAGAGGAAUAUGGGCUGGUCAUUGCCUUUUUUGACGUACGAACAUUUUUGAACAAGGACAAACAGCAGAAGCGACCGUUUGUGUACUACAAGCCAGAGAAAAAGUGCACAGUGACCGAUUUGAAAUGGAAUCCGGCAGUGAACUGUAUCCUGGCCAUCUGCAUGUCUGACGGAAGCUUGACCAUACUGGAAGUUACUGACAUCAUUAAGCAGCAUGCCUCCCUUCCUCCCGCAGCUGAUAUUACUUCAUUGUGCUGGAGUCCGAAAGGGAAGCAACUGGCUGCCGGUCGAAGGAAUGGGACAGUGGUUCAGUACUCACCGGUUCUUCAAGAAAAGAAGAUCAUCCCAUGCCCCCCCUUCUACACUGCAGACAAUCCAGUUAAAGUGUUGGACAUCUGUUGGAUCAGCACAUACGUUUUUGCGGUGGUUUAUGUGGCUGCGGAUGGAUCACUGGAGAGCCCUCCUGAAUUUGUGAUGGUUUCCCUGGCGAAAAAGGAUGAGAAACGAGAGGACCAGUUCUUAAACUUUAAUGACCUGUGCUUUGGGAUAUCGUCUGAGAGGCAGCACCGUUACUACAUGCACUACAUUGAGGAGUGGGAUCUUAUCUUGGCAUCUUCAGCUGCAUCUAUUGAAGUCAGCAUUGUUGCUCGGCAACCGGAUAAGGUCAACUGGGAAGUCUGGGUCCUGGAGGAUGCAGCCCGUGCAGAAUUCCCUGUGACAGAGAAUAGUGAUGACACAAUGCCAGUUGGUGUUGGUGUAGACAUCACCAAUCAGCAAGCAAUCGCUAUAGGCAAUGAGAAGACUUUCCCUCCAUCUCCGAUCUUGAUAUUGCUUUCAACAGAUGGACUCCUAUGUCCGUUCCAUAUGCUCAACUCUAUGCCUGGAAUGAAGACACCAGUGAAAUCACCAAAAUGCCCACGUUUAGAAGGGGAGCGAGAACCCAAGCCAGCUCAGGUAUCAAUACCUGCUCCCUCAUUAUUGGUGCCAUCACGUGCUGCGACUGCUUCGCCACAGGACUCUACUGUGGUUGUAAAUCCACCUGCAUCGUUCCGCCCAUCUGUGCCGCCGGUGAUGCUGCCACCUUUACCCACUUUUUCGAAGAUACCUACCCAGACUCCACAUGGAAAACCCGUACAAGAUAUGGUUAAAAUCGAGCUUUAUGAACCGUCCUCUUCAAGUGACAAUCAAAAACUUGGUGCCUCGGAAGCAAAGAUCAGCCCAACACCAUCUACCAAAUUUGUCAGGUUCUUGGAAAGCGGAUCAGCAUCCAGUGAGAAUGAACUGAAGGCUCAAAUGAUGCAGAAUCUGCUGCCCUCAGCAGCAGGUGGUCCACCUCCAGUCACUGCUCGAAGUGCAAUGGGUGCUGCUGCCAUCUUUCCUGUUUCCAAGACAUGUCCAACUCAGAGCUCUGCCUCCUUAGAACUGUCCGUGUCUGAUUUGGAGAAACAGCUGAAACAACAUCCGACCUUGGAUCCUGUCAUGGUGGGAAUCAUGGAAGAGAUUUCUCUCUUUCAGAAGGAACUUGAUGAUUUGAAAGCCCGCACGGCACGUUCUAACUUUGAGGUUGGCAGCGCCAAGGAGAUGACCCACCUGCGGUAUGAUGCCCAGUCACUGCACACCUUCCUGUUGGAGGUCAAGGAGAUAACAGAGACUCUGCAUGAAGAAAUCGGCAUUCUGAAGACCGUGAUGCUAGAAGGAUUUGCUGGUGUGGAAGAUGCAACUACACAUAACGAGCGAAACAUGGAUAAGAAUUAUCUUCAGCUCCUGCGUCGAAAGCCCCUCAGCCCAAAGAGCGAAGCCCAACUUAAGGAAAUUCGCCAACUGCAUCAGUAUGUGAAGUUUGCCGUACAGGAUGUAAAUGAUAUGUUGGAUAUGGAAUGGGAGCAAUACCAGGAAAAGAACAAGAAGCACAAACAUCUGCUUCUACCAGAGAGGGAAGUGUUGUUCAACGCUUUGGCGAGCCAUCAUGAGAUCAUUACCCAGCAGGAUAAGAAGAUUAAUGAACUGAUAGACAGCUUGCAGAACCUCCGUAUUUAUAACCAGACCUCCAAGUGGUGUGUGCCCAAUGAAAAGUGUCUGCUGAGUGAUCGUUGCUGGGAUACUGAGUUAGAGAUGCUGCGCAAUGUGCUGGUGAAGACUACCCUAGAUGGAACACCAAAAGGGACUUCAGCCACCCCAGGUAAACUAUCCCCAGUGAAACAAUCCCAGCUACGGAGCUUCCUUUCAAAAAGACAGACUCCACCUGUGAGAUCCACUGCACCGGCUAAUUUGUCCAGAUCAGCCUUUAUAUCACCAAAAUGUUAUGGAGAGUUGGAUGAUUCGAGUCCGAAGUCUACUUUGCUGCGCCCAGAUUAUGAAGGUCUUCAGGCCAAAGAGCAGGAGACAUCCUUGUUAAAACAUGCUCCUGUCACGAGACUGCCUUCCUUUCCACCAUCAGCAAUCACCGCGCAGUCAACACCUUAUGGCAAAGUCCAGCUUCCUGCUGGUCCCACUGUCACCACAAUUCCAAAGCCAACAGGUAAGAUGGUGAGACACGGAGCACCAGGGACUGAGAAGCCAGCCACCAUCCUUCCAGCUGCCCAGGCUGCUGCCCAAGCAGCUUUCCGGAGACAGAUGACCAGUCAGGUGCCAGCUCCAAGUGCUACCUUCCAAGAGCCUGAACAAAAAGAGAGUCCUCCAACCAUUACCCCUCAAAUCCUGCAAGGGACAGGCCUGCCUCAGGGUCCACCACCUGUCGCCAGCUCUUCUUUGUCAGCAUCUGAAACCGAGAUUGGGACUCAGAUCAAACAGGGACCUGUGAAAGUGCCUGCGAAAACAGAGCCCAGUCCAUCUGGAUCAAGUUUACCAGAAUCCUCCUACGCAUCAUCAUCGAGUUUGAUGGCCUCUGUAUCCAUAGGGAGUGUGCUGAAACCUGACCUAUCCAUGUUUGCAGCCCCAAGCGAGCAGCUCCAUAAAAUUUCCUCAUUCCCAGGAGCCUCCACUGGAUUCCAUUUCACGUCACCAAGCACAUCCUCAUUAAAUGCACUGAGCAACAAGGCUCAAGGAUAUUCUAUAGUUACAAAGGAUGCUCUUCGCUCCGCCUUAGGAUUGCCCAAUAAAAUAUCCUUUGCACUGGGAACUGAUGUCCCACCUUCACAAAGGAGCUUAAAGUCCAGCUCUAGCUCUGCCUCUGCAGCUGAAUCUACAUCAGUCACUGGCAUCUGUACCCCUAAUGCUCCGUGUCCAGAGCUGCAACCAGCUGGCAGGCCAGUUGUAACUGGAGCAGCUCCUGAGUCCACCAUCCCUGCAGCUGCAAGCAAACUUGAGGAUCAGCAGUCCAGUUCCGAAACACAGCCAUCCAAACCGGAAUCUCGCACUUCCUCAGCUGAGCUUUACCCAUCUAAAACUGAAGCUCCAGUGCAGCCUGAACCUGAGAUCCUGCCACAGGCCAGGCCUGAUGUUUCACCACAGCCUGAGCCUGAGGUACCUUCGCUGCAACCCAAGCCUGAGGUUGUUCCUCCAGAGCCUACGCUUGUGGUUCCAUCUUGGCCAAAGCCCGAAGUUGCUCCUUCCGAGUCCAGGUCCGAGGUGGCUCCUUCCGAGUCCAGGUCCGAGGUGGCUCCUUCCGAGUCCAGGUCCGAGGUGGCUCCUUCCGAGUCCAGGUCCGAGGUGGCUCCUCCCGAGUCCAGGUCCGAGGUGGCUCCUCCCGAGUCCAGGUCCGAGGUGGCUCCUCCCGAGUCCAGGUCCGAGGUGGCGCUGCCAGAAUCCAGGUCCGAGGUGGCGCUGCCCGAGGCCAGGUCCGAGGUGACUCUUCCCGAGUGCAGGCCCGAGGUGGCGCCUGCAAAGUCCAGGUCCGAGGUGGCGCUGCCCGAGGCCAGGUCCGAGGUAGCACUGCCUGAGGCCAGGUCCGAGGUGACUCUUCCCGAGUGCAGGCCCGAGGUGGUGCCUGCCGAGUCCAGGUCCGAGGUGGCGCUGUCCGAGUGCAGGUCCGAGGUGGCGCUGUCCGAGUGUAGGUCCGAGGUGGCGCUGUCCGAGUGCAGGUCCGAGGUGGCGCUGCCCGAGUGCAGGUCCGAGGUGGUGCUGCCCGAGGCUUUUCCACCACAGACUAAGCCCAAAGUAACACCACUGCAAUCUGAAACAGACCUCUUUGAGGGUAGUCCUAAAGGGGUCACAAUCGGCAGCUUCUCCGGACUUGUGGUCAGUCAGACAGAUGGUGCCUCCAGAUUGGAUAGAUGUUCACAGGAUAAUUUCAUCUUUGCCCAAACGGCCAAAACCCCAACAGCUCCUCCAUCUGUGGCCUUCGGCGAGGUCUUCCAAAUUGGAAAGUCAGAAUCUGCAGAAGUAAUGCCAGUAUCCUCAAUUGGCACAGUUAUGCCUAGACCAAGUGGAACGCCAUAUCUCUCUGCUUCUGCAAUUAGCACCAGAACUCCUAGUUCACCUUGCACUUUACAUUCGAUAGGUAGCAAAUCUGAUUUUGUUUGUAAACAAGAGGAGUCCAUAAGUACUGCUGGUCAAAUUGCUGCUGCCAUUGCUGCUAUAAACACUUUGCAAGAUUCAACUUUUGCCGACACAUUCACACCCCUCUCAGCUUCAUUAACUGAAUCCACGGCGUCGUUCUCUCCUGAUGGAAAGCCUUCAUCUCGUACUAGCAGCUUGACCAUCGCCGGUGCAGCUGUGAAACAGACAGUGGCACAGAGCCCAAAAAUACUGGCAUCCAAAGCCUCAGUAAGCACUGCAGGAAGUCCUUCUGUUCCAAGUGUCAGAGGGACAACAUCCACAUCCACAUCAACGAGCAGUCAGUUUAUGCCAGGACUGGUCAUUUCUCCAGAAUCCAGCACGAUUUUGGUGACAUCUGUUGGAAGUACUGCCCCACAGCCUCAGUCCAUGGGCACUGCUGCACCCACAAGUGGCAGUGAGGCUACCACAGCACCGCUGUUUGGAACCGCUGCGCCCGGACCCUCUGUGCCAUCACCCCUGACAUCCCAGCUGUUUGGUCAGCCUGUGGAUACCAGCACAACACCAACCCUGGGCUUUGGCCAGCCGGUAACCACAACUGCCCCGUCCACCUUUGUACAAGGCACAAACGGUAUCACCGCCCCUACCAUUGCCGACAGCACCAGCUCAGCAAAAGCUGCUUUUGGUCAGGCCUCUGACGCAGGCUUUGGGCACCAGCAGCUGUCCAGCAGUAAAUUCAACUUUUCCUUUCCUGGCACGCCCACUACCAGCAAUACCAGUACAUUCCCAUUUGGACAGGUGCCUCUCAGCAGUGGUACCAUAUUCGGGCAGUCUGGUGCCCCAACAUUUGGACAGAAUGCUAGCUUCGGGCAAAGCCCUGCUUUUGGAACCGGCUCGGCAACAUCUUCUGGAUUCGGCUUUGUGCAACCAUCAAGUUUUGGCAACACUUCAGGCUCUGUAUUUGGUCAGUCUACAGGCUCCGCCAUUGUGUUUGGUCAGCCUACUAGUGCACAGCCGGUUUUUGGUUCCCCGGCACCUGGAAGUGGAUUCUUUAGCGGACUGGGAAGAAGGCCAAGCUUGGAUGCAAGUGCUAGAAAUCCGUUUGGGCAGACAAACUUUGGAUCAGCUGAGGCUGCUAAUGCUCAGAGCCUCUUUGGGAACAGUGGUGCCAAGACAUUUGGGUUUGGCAGUGCCUCUUUCGGAUCAGAUCAGAAGACAUCAGGCUCGUUCAGUGCAGGCUCCAGUGUCGCUGCCCAAGGCUUUGGCAACUUUUCCACUCCCUCAAAACCCCCAGGUGGUUUUGGUGCUGCUCCCGUGUUUGGCAGUCCGCCAGCCUUUGGUAGCACCCCAACGUUCGGAGGCCUACCAGCAUUUGGUGGCUCACCAGUUUUUAGUGGAACAAUGAGCACUUCGGGAGGCAAGGUGUUUGGUGAAGGAACAGCAGCUGCCAGUGCUGGAGGUUUCGGCUUUGGGAACACUGCCAAUGCGCAAUCAUUUGGAAGCAUAGCAAAUCAGUCCAGUGCAUCUGGUUUUGGAGGACAAGGGUCUGGCUUUCCAGCGUUUGGGUCCAGUGGAGGAGGGUUUGGAAGUGGUUUUGGAUCCACAAAUCAGUAAGUAAUGAGGCUGAACGUUCAUUUCUAACUGAUACCAGAACCUGGAAUCAUAUUAACCCUUGCCUGCUGAUCGAGCCAGACCAACAAAAAUAAAUGUGGCCAGCCCCUUUAUCGGUUAAAAGGCAAUUUUCCCAGCUGUGCAUUUAGAUGCUGUUUUGACUUUGCUCUUUGUGUGGUGUGUCCACUGUCUUCUGUAUUUCUUUUAAUCUGACCCUUGAGAAAUCUCUUGGUGUCAGAAUACCUGAUCAGGUAGUGAGAUUGAGUGGCUCCUGCUGAAGCAACAGGCUGCAACCAGCUACCAGAUGAAGAGGAUGUUCUGAGUCAAAAUCACAUUCUAUUUAAAGGAAAAUAAUAGCAAAAAUUGAACCUGCUUGGCUCUACAAAGCAAAUCUUACUACAGCCAGUAUGUCAUAGAAUCAUACAGCACAGAAACAGACCCUUCAGUCCAACUCCCCCAUGCCAACCAGACAUCCAAAUCUGACCUAGUCCUAUUUGCCAGCGU